GCAGAAGAAGCACCGGCUAACUCCGUGCCAGCAGCCGCGGUAAUACGGAGGGUGCGAGCGUUAAUCGGAAUUACUGGGCGUAAAGCGCAUGCAGGCGGUUUGUUAAGUCAGAUGUGAAAGCCCGGGGCUCAACCUCGGAACCGCAUUUGAAACUGGCAGGCUAGAGUCUUGUAGAGGGGGGUAGAAUUUCAGGUGUAGCGGUGAAAUGCGUAGAGAUCUGAAGGAAUACCAGUGGCGAAGGCGGCCCCCUGGACAAAGACUGACGCUCAGAUGCGAAAGCGUGGGUAGCAAACAGGAUUAGAUACCCUGGUAGUCCACGCCGUAAACGCUGUCUACUUGGAGGUUGAGGUUUUAGACUUUGGCUUUCGGCGCUAACGCAUUAAGUAGACCGCCUGGGGAGUACGGCCGCAAGGUUAAAACUCAAAUGAAUUGACGGGGGCCCGCACAAGCGGUGGAGCAUGUGGUUUAAUUCGAUGCAACGCGAAGAACCUUACCUACUCUUGACAUCCAGCGAAGCCUUUAGAGAUAGAGGCGUGCCUUCGGGAGCGCUGAGACAGGUGCUGCAUGGCUGUCGUCAGCUCGUGUUGUGAAAUGUUGGGUUAAGUCCCGCAACGAGCGCAACCCUUAUCCUUUGUUGCCAGCGAUAAAGUCGGGAACUCAAAGGAGACUGCCGGUGAUAAACCGGAGGAAGGUGGGGAUGACGUCAAGUCAUCAUGGCCCUUACGAGUAGGGCUACACACGUGCUACAAUGGCGCAUACAAAGAGCGGCGAGCGUGCGAACGUAAGCAAACCUCAUAAAGUGCGUCGUAGUCCGGAUUGGAGUCUGCAACUCGACUCCAUGAAGUCGGAAUCGCUAGUAAUCGUGGAUCAGAAUGCCACGGUGAAUACGUUCCCGGGCCUUGUACACACCGCCCGUCACACCAUGGGAGUGGGUUGCAAAAGAAGCAGGUAUCCUAACCUUGAAAAAGGAAGGCGCCUACCACUUUGUGAUUCAUGACUGGGGUGAAGUCGUAACAAGGUAACCGUAGGGGAACCUGCGGUUGGAUCACCUCCUUA
rnacentral:rRNA from 1 species